GACGAACGCUGGCGGCGUGCCUAAUACAUGCAAGUCGAACGCAGUGGGGACGGGUGAGUAACACGUGGGUAACCUCCCAUCAGACGGGAUAACACUUGGAAACAGGUGCUAAACCGAUACUGACUGAUGACCCCGCGGGGCAUUAGCUAGUUGGUGAGGUAACGGCUCACCAAGGCCACGAUGCAUAGCCGGCCUGAGAGGGUGAUCGGCCACACUGGGACUGAGACACGGCCCAGACGCCUACGGGAGGCAGCAGGAGGGAAGCGUGGGCAAUGGACGAAAGUCUGACCGAGCAACGCAGCGUGGGUGAAGAAGGUUUUCGGAUCGUAAAACUCUGUUGUUAGAGAAGCGGUAGCUAACCAGAAAGCCACGGCUAACUACGUGCCAGCAGCCGCGGUAAUUC
rnacentral:rRNA from 1 species